AGCAGCCGCUGGAACACGGAGGGAGCUAGCGUUGUUCGGAAUUACUGGGCGUAAAGCGCGCGUAGGCGGUUACUCAAGUCAGAGGUGAAAGCCCGGGGCUCAACCCCGGAACUGCCUUUGAAACUAGGUGACUAGAAUCUUGGAGAGGUCAGUGGAAUUCCGAGUGUAGAGGUGAAAUUCGUAGAUAUUCGGAAGAACACCAGUGGCGAAGGCGACUGACUGGACAAGUAUUGACGCUGAGGUGCGAAAGCGUGGGGAGCAAACAGGAUUAGAUACCCCGGUAGUCCCUGUCUCUUAUACA
rnacentral:rRNA from 1 species